rnacentral:lncRNA from 1 species
CAAUCUAUAGUUAAUGAUCAUAUACUGGAAUAUGAAUUAUUGCAUAUGGAAGUUAUUAAUAGUAUAUAUUUAUAGCAUUAUCUUUCAGAAAAAGAUUUAUAAAACAAAAACUAAUAUACUCAAUCCCAUAAAAAAGUCAUCCAACUAAUACUUAGUGGCAUAAAUGAAAGAUGAACAUACGUUUAUGAAGUUGACAACCAUACAUAUGAAGAGUGGCUUUAUUAUAAGACCAUGUACAUAUAUAGUUUUAGAAGAUGCAAAAGGGUGGAAAGAUACAUAUAAAAGGAAAAGAAAUGAUGGUUUUGGAAGGAAGGCUUUAGGCAAACAUGGUAGAGAGGGUUGGAAGCUUGAUCUCUCCGGUGUGAGAGAGAGGAAUGGUGAAGUUGCCAAUGACAGGAAGGUCAAUAAUGAGACGAAUAUCGAGUUGGUAGUCGAUGUCCCAGUCGGCACCAAUGUCCCUUGCUAAGGACAUUAAUAUGCUGUAUGGAACCUUAAUUGGCACAUCCACCAUGGUCGUGUCCUUUGACUUCAAAGAUCCUGGGUCUGGAAUUGUCCCUGAUGCUAUCUCCCUUCACCACACAACACAAAAACAUAAAAAAAAAAAAAAAAAAAACUUGUUGACAAUAUUAUUGAGAAUGCCUUUAUCAACUGCUGAUGCAUUUCUGUUUUCGUUGAUAUUGAAUAAAACUCUUAAAUUAAAGAUUUAAUUAAAUUUGAGUACUUCAUAAACUCAAUGGUGUUGAUAUUUUUAAUUGAGUUUUUGUUAUUUUUUUAUUAAACGUUCAAAUUUAUAUAUUUUUAAUUAAAUACCUAUUUUUCGUAAUUAUCAUUUUGAAUCAUUUUAUUCUUUUAUUAAAAAAGUGUUGUCGUUUAAAAUAUUUAAAUCUUAAAGAUAUUUUAAGAGUAGUUUUCUUUAAUAAUCAUAUUUUUAAUUUUAGUACAUGUAAAAUUAAGCCGACAGCUCUUCUGUUCUCAUAAGAUUCGGAAUUCUAAGGUUAUAAUAAACUUUUAUUUUUACAAAUAUUCUUUAUUAACGCAGGUUUACUCAAUUAAGUAAGAAUUGUUGGUUGUUUUUAAUUGGUGAACUUUUAUGGUUUAAGGUAUAGGAAUUGUGAUAAUUUGAAUUGGAUAAACAAUAAGUUUAGUGUAAUAAUUUAUAUAUUUUAUUUUUAUUUUAUAUUUAGUAAAAUAAUUUUUUUUAAUUGAAUCCACUUUAGACUUUAGAAAAAUUUAAUUAAAGGUUAAUUAAUUAUUAAAAUUAAUUUUCCUUCUAAUUAAAUACUAAAAAGUGACAAUCAGUGAAUUAAUGAAAUUAAAGUUGUGAAUUAAAAUUAUGAUUGAUGAAGUUUAAAUAAAAUUAAUAGAAUCAAAAUUAUUAUAUUAAAAUUGUAUCUAUUUACCCAUUUUAAUUUGAUUUGUAUAAAUUUACAGUUUAUUUUGACUGUUUUCUAAUUAAGUUUAUAAUUUAUUUAUUCCUUUUAGUCUAUUUUGCAGAAAGUAAAUUUAUUUUCUUCAAAUAUACUUUACUUCCUUGUGAGUUAAUUUGAGAAUUGAGAUACAGUGUAAUUUCAGUGAUAAAAGUGAGAAAGGGUACCUUGACGCGCUUUUGAAAGAGUAUCUGAUCUCGCAGAUGGGUAUGGAAGUUGAAUAAGGGUUACGGACAGCUACCUUCACCAAGUACUCCAUACUAUCUUUGCUCACGCGCUUGAAGUCCACGUUGCUCACACUCGCCUCAGGCUUCGCC